UCAUCACUAAUAUUUCCUCUUAAUUUUUCCCAUUUUCUGUGCCAUGCUUCAGUGUUUCUUUGGGUAUGCUGAAAUGUAUUCCACAUGUACUCAUAUACGGACCACAAAUUUGGCAGAAGCAAUGCUGAUGAUUAAACAGCAACAUGAUUGUAUAAGUGUCUUCUUAUCCUACCAUGUGCAUAAUUAUUUUCUAACCAGUUAGUAACUUCACUGUCUUCUUCAGGCAAAUGCAGCUUGAAUUCGUUAAAAGCUCCUGGAAUUUGAUUGGCUGGAAGAAAUGCCAAUGCAAAUGCAUUUUGGUACUGAAACUUUUAUCAUGCCAUAUUGCAUGACCAAUCCACAAGUGUAAUUUUCUGCCAAAUACAAAUAAAGACAAUCACAAGAAUUACAUAAUUGGAGGUAGGAUUUAAGAUUAUUUGGGAACACUGAAUAGGCAAGACUGGAAGUAAGAAGACCAAAUGAAAAAUUCUCACAGUAGUACAGAAGAGGAACAGUUACAAACUGGGAUGGAUGGUGCCCAGCACAGCACUGAACCCUGCAAAAGUACUUAGUCUUCAAAAAAAUACUGAAUUACCCUUGUAAGACUGGAACACUUUGUCUUCUUCCUUAUCCUUGAGGAAAAGUGGUCUAUAUUUCACUAUUAAAUAUAAUGCUAGCUGUAGGAUCUUUUGGAUUUCUCUUAUGUUUUAUAUUUAAUUUAUAAUGUUGAAAAAAUAUAUCAGCAUUCCUACUUUAUUGAUUUUUAUCAUGAAUGUUUGGUGAAUAUUCUCAAAUGUCUUUCUGCUUCUUUUGUGGCUGUCAUAUAAUGUUCCUCCUUUUUAUUAAGGGAAUAAAUUAACUCAUUUAUAUAGAAGGUUUUUUUUUUUCAUGUUAAGACAAGUUUGUCUUCUCUGGGUUUAACUUGUUUUUCUUUAUGUAGCUUGUGAGAGAGAGAGAGAGAGAGAGUGU